rnacentral:rRNA from 1 species
UACGUAGGGUGCAAGCAUUGUCCGGAAUCAUUGGGCGUAAAGAGCGCGUAGGCGGCCCUGUAAGUCCGCUGUGAAAGUCAAGGGCUCAACCCUUGAAUGCCGGUGGAUACUGCAGGGCUAGAGUCCGGAAGAGGCGAGUGGAAUUCCUGGUGUAGCGGUGAAAUGCGCAGAUAUCAGGAGGAACACCGAUGGCGAAGGCAGCUCGCUGGGACGGUACUGACGCUGAGGCGCGAAAGCUAGGGGAGCGAACGGG